rnacentral:rRNA from 1 species
AUAUCUGCUAAGGGGUUCCGGUCCAUCCGAGUGAUGAAUACGCGGAACUCUUCUUGGCAUUUGUUCGGGGAAGGUGUUUGCACUUUGUUGUGUGUCACAUGAUCUGGAUUUUUACUUUGAGGAAAUGAGAGUGUUUCAAGCAGGCUUUUGCCGUGAAUAUGAUAGCAUGGAAUAAUAGCAUAGGACCCCUUUCCAAAGCUGUUGGUUUUUGGAACGAGGUAAUCAGAAUAAGGAUAGUUGGGGGUAUUCGUAUUUAACUGUCAGAGGUGAAAUUCUUGGAUUUUUUAAAGACGAACUAUUGCGAAGGCAUCUGCCCAGGAUGUUUUUGUUGAUCAAGAACGAAAGUUAGGGGAUCGAAGACGAUCAGAUACCGUCCUAGACUUAACCUUAAACUAUGCCGGCUGGAGAUUGGAGUCGUCAGAAUAGUGACGUCUUCAGCAUCCUGAGAGAAAUCGAAGUCUUUGGGUUCCGGGGGGAGUAUGGUCGCAAGGCUGAAACUUAAGGAAUUGACCGAAGGGCACCACCAGGAGUGGGAGCCUGCGGCUUAAUUUGACUCAACACGGCCCGCACCCUCCCCAGGUCCAGACAUAGAUAGGAUUGACAGACUGAUAGCUCCUUCUUAAUUCUAUGGGUGGGGGUGCAAGGCCGUUCUUAGNUGGUGGA